rnacentral:lncRNA from 1 species
GGAUCAGGAUCAGGAUCAAGCAUGUACAGGUAUUGAAGAGCUGGUUCAAGCACAAGCUUUCAAGCGUUCAAUAAUUGCGUUUUUGUUUACCAAUCUUCUAUGGUGUGCAAGAGGAAGUCCCUCUUUCACACACUCGUCGUAUUUCUCUAACGCCGCCACAAUGUCGCUGAAAUCCGGCCGCUUCGACGGAUUCGCCGCCCAACACCGUUUAAUCAGGUGGGCUAGCGCCGGCUGACAACUCGCCGGCAAUGGUGGUCUCUCAUUCUGCCCAAUUCAAGUAAGACAUUUCAACUCUCAAAACCCUAAUCUCCUAUUCUAUUACGCAAAAUUACGACGAUUGAUCGACAUUUUUCUUCAAACAGGUAAGUAUCAAAAUCAGCAUUACUUGUGGAAGGGGGAGUUUGAGAUUUUGGUACCUUCUCGGCGACGGCAAAGGCAGCUUGCACGGGGGUCAUUCCUUGAAAGGGAAGCAGAGCCGUGGUGAGUUCCCACAGCACAAUCCCAAAGCUGUACACAUCAACUUUGCGAGUAUAAGGCUUCUCUUUGAUCAUCUCCGGUGCCAUCCAUCGGUAAGUUCCCAUGUUCCCUUUUGAUUCUCGGCACUGUGUUUCGAGGCAGGAGGUUCCGAAAUCGGCUACUUUUACUCUCAUUUCAUCGUUUAGAAGCAAGUUGUUUGAUUUGAGAUCUCUGUGGAUUACUCCUUGGGAAUGGAGGUAUUCCAUUCCUCUUGAUAUGUCAAGAGCUAACCUCAGUAUUGUUUCUGUUGAGAGUGAAUACGGCUCUUUCUUGUUUAGAUACAUCCUCAGAGUUCCUUGUGACAUAUACUCUGUAAUUAUGCAGUAUACAGGUGGCUUUUUACAGGCUGCAAUGAACUGUACACCAAACAGCCAUGAAUUUACAUUCUUAAAAACUUGUAUUUGUCAGUUGUGUAUAGUUCUGUUGUAAGGAAUAACUGGGAAGGGUAGAUGAAAGAAAUUAAAAGACUAGAAGGUUGAAUUUUU